UUCGCGUUUCUCUCUUUUUUUUUUACAUACUGAUAGAAUAUAUCUAUUCUAAGGCCCUUUAUCAUGUUUAUAGCUUAUUGUUCUGGUUGAGCCAAGACUCUGUGAUCAUGAAGAACUUACCUUGACCUAUAAUGGUUUACUUUUAUAAAUUGUGACUUUGACAGAGAGUUGUCUCAUUUGCACUUAUACCACAUCUUCUUUGAUCUAUUAUGUUAUAAUGCACCUUGUAUUAUAAAGAAGAAGAAUGUAAAUAAGGAAGUGUCAUUUGUUGUUGUAUAUCACAUCUGCUUUUUAUUUAUUAUUUUGUACAUAAAUCAGGUUGGUUCUUUUCUUCAUUCUUAUAAAUCAUUUUACAAGUAUCAAUUAAAAUCAUAUCGCUUACUAUGGCGUAUGGAUUUUUCCCAUUGUUGAAGGUGGUAUUGUAAACUGUUCAAUACAUAUUGAAACCAUGUGUUAAAACAUGCAAUUACAUACAUUGUUCUUCCAUUAAAGAGUUCUGUCCUGUAAUACUGUUUAGUUGAAACGGUUUUGUUAUGUAAGAUAACCCAGACCAUCACUGAAAUACUUAUAAACGAAUAAGAGCUGUGUGAAAUUUAUGGAUUGAUGAAUAAGUAAAAACUAUGCUGGUUUUUUUUUAACAACCUUUACUACACAUGAGAGUCUUGCAAGUACGGUAAUGCUAUAAGUAUCGACAUCAGUGACUGU
rnacentral:lncRNA from 1 species